rnacentral:rRNA from 1 species
AAUUUUUCUUCCUUUUAUAAACAAAAGAUGGCCUACUAAAAAGAGUCCGAAUUUGGCGGGCGAUGCCCGCGGUGCGCAGGACCAUCCCCGAGCGGGUGUACGGCCGGAAUAGAGAAGUAGAAAGUAGACCUCGCGCGAGCUAGGGGAAGCAGAGAAAAGGUGGUGUUCGGGCAAAGGUCAUCGGAAUAGAGGAUUUUUUUGUCAGCUAGGGGAAGCAAAAGCGUGCUGGUGGUACCAGACGAAGAGUUCGAAGUGGACGACAACAAGUUCCAGGUGUCGCAACACUGCGCCACUAAAAACAACUGCUUUGUCGGCCACGACGUUGCGUCGGAGCAACAACUGAACUAACGACGGCCGCGACGCUGAGCUGCCACGACGGCCACAACGAUACGCUGCGAGCAGCUACGGCCACGAAGCUGCGCCGCGAGCGGCCGCGACGUUGCGUCGUGUGCCCUCCUCUCCAACUCGACGAGCGCGCCGAGACAACGUUGCGUCGUGCUUCCGGCCUCAGCCCGCGGCGAGCGGCGGCCACUACGUUGCGUCGUGUGUUCCUCCUCCGAGCCGACGAGCGCAGCCACAACGGGACCUUCGAAAUAGCGCGGCGCCCUCGACGUUACCUCGCGGCGGACCCGACGCUACCUCGGCGGCGCCUCGAGGUAACUUCGAAGCGGCCUCAACUACUUCGCGGCGGGCCCGACGCUACCUCGGCGGCGCCUCGAGGUAACUUCGAAGCGGCCUCAACUACUUCGUGACGGCCUCGACUUUGCUUCUCUUCGGCCUCGAUGUUACUUCGCGUCGCCCCCCAGCAACUUCGAAGCGGUCUCAGUUACUACGUGGCGGCCUCAACGUUGCUUCGCAGCGGCCUCGACGUUACUUCGCGUCGCCCCCCAACAACUUCGAAGCGGCCUCAGCUACUUCGUGGCGGCCUCAACGUUACUUCGCGUCACCCCCGAGCAACUUCGAAGCGGCCUCAGCUACUCCGUGGUGGCCUCGACGUUGCUUCUCAGUGGCCUCGACGUUACUUCGCAACUCCCCAGCAACUUCGAGGUGGCCUCUACGUUACCUCGCAGCGGGAGCGGCCACUACGUUACCUCGCGGCGGCCUGCGGCUUCCACGACGGUACCCUCGACGCUCGCCACUUGUCCACAACGUGACCUCUCUGCUCCUAAGUUAAAAGAGAACCCGACACGUGCACCGGAUCGACCGUGUUACCUGCCGACGCGUUUCGGAGUAGAUUGCCGAGUGCUCCUCCAAAUUUUAACCCAUCGCAGUCGGCCUACUAAACAUCAUCGCGGGAUCUUUCUUACCUGUGAGGGAUUAUUAAUCCAUGCUCGAAAAAACUCCCUGAUAGAAUUUUAACGAGAAAUUCGUUUGUCAAGGUCUGCCACUCGUCCUCGAGAACAGAGUGCGCGUGUACGUCCUAUCGUUCCAUGAACGCAAUAGUACCCAGGGCUUCCUACUUCGUGGAGGUGGUCUAGCCACUUCAACUAGUGAUGUUACCCAGGGCAACGACCUCCGCCCCAUCUGUCUUCGUGUACACGUAGGCGCUCGUCACUCAGAUACAGCGGAGCUGAUCUUGUUAACUUCUACCCUAGUACUCCUGCUAAUUUCGUUACUUUUAUGAACGUGGGUAAGAACAAGUCUUCGUCUCCAAUUCCAUCAACUCGUACCAGGGCUGGUUCGAAACAUAUAGCGGUGGCAGGUCGGACAACUCUGCUUGUAUCUCCGUGUACUAAACGAACGCGCGUUAGAACUCCUUGGUGAACCGGAACCAUUCCUCUAUCGAACCCGCUUCCGGUUCCGAACUGGGGUCUGGAACUAGACAGCCGACCAGGUCUUACAUCCUCGCCCACUUCUCAUGCUCCACAAGGUGGUUUUUGAACGCCGGAAGAACCAGGUCUACGUCCGCCUAGUAGAGGCUAUCUUCGCUUUAAUGCUGUACGGAGGACAACCGCCGUACCAGUUGUUUUGUGUACUUUUUAUUUGGAGAGGUCUGCUGCGUGGAUUCCUGCCGCGUUGGUUACUCCAUUAGGUACAUCAGAACUUCAUACGUGUAGUCCGUAGAGAUCUCAUACUACGAAGAUAGGACUAAGGACUACCGAGGAUAAGGAUGUGGAACUGUAGUUGGUAAAAACAAAACUUAUUAUAGGGUACAGUACACAAAUACAAUAUAAUAUUGUUGUUUGACCAUAUAUGAUUACACAAUACUCUGACUUUCUUUCUCGUUUCACACCUACUCACGUGAUCACACCUACACUAACUACAUAUAUAAUAGAUGGGCUACUUCUACCUUCACAAACAUAUACAUCCUCCUCCUCUCUUGUAUGGUAAAAGAUAUGUAAAUUUCUUCCAACCACCCGAUAAGUAAACGUGGCUAAAGUGGAGUAUUAUGAACACGAGAUAAAACUGAAUGAUUCUGAUAAAAAGAGGAGAUUUAGUUAUUACUGAGUUGUAGAGAAAAAUCUGUUUUCCGUAGAAGGGUAUACAUUUCGGAGCUUUUCUGGGCUACUUACCAAAGUGUGUGUGUGUGUGUGUGUUUGUGUGUGUAUGUGUGUGUGUGUGUGUCUCUCUCUCUCUCUAGAUUCGUGUGUAACUCUCUAUCCCUAGAUUCGCGUGUAACUCUCUCUCUCUCUCUCUCUCUCUCUCUCUAGAUUCGUGUAACUCGUUGGACUGUGGCUGUAAACGGUAGAGGUUACUUCUGAACAGGAGGGAGAAGUGACUAACCUAGUUUCGAUGUAUUUGUAUUCAUAAGAUAUUUAUUCGUUAGUUGGACAACUAAUCCCUAUUAGAUGAGUACAACGAUUGGAUAAAAGAUCAUUACGUCUCACGGAUCGAGAACCGUCGCUCCGUAUUGGUUUAUUGAGAUAUGCUGACUGAGCUCUAGGGGACUCAUUGUCACUAUUUAACCGGUUUUCAUCACCCCACGGUCACAAUAAAUACUUACGUAGAGGUGAACUUGGAACACAUAAGCUCCAGAGGUGUUUGUCGUGUUAGAAAGUCCGGAGGUGGAAGUAACUUAGAUCGAUGAUCUACCCCUUGCCGGGUAUAGUCAACGAUCUCCUUUUUAGAACUAGAAUUCCCUGAUUUACAACAAGCCUACCGGAAUUUUACGAUGAGUAAGGGACGAAAUAACUUGCCAAUCGCACAGUGAACGGGGUGUACAAGUAGUUCUUUAAGUGAGCUACAUUUCCAGGGAAGUAAUGAUGACGUAUCGGAGAACGUACAUGAGAGUAUAAACAUUACGUCAACAAACAGAAAUGGAACAAAAAGAGGUGUGCGUACAAGGAGAGUACGGGGUUAGGACCGGUGGUAAGCAAUGAAUAAACCUACUCUAGAUGAUGAAUUCGUAGAUGGAACGGUACAGAAUCACAACAUUAAAACAAGACAACGGAGGGCGAAGUAGUGGGAGGAGUUCGUGGAGCGAGGAUUUGUUGAAACUGGGGUAUCAUAUAAACGGGUUGGAGAUUAAUAUAAGAAAAACCUUAUUUAUUAUAUAGUUUUUUCACGUUGACUCGCUCUAAACCAUCCAAAAGAAUUUCUCAUUUAACCUGAGUAUACAUGUGGUCAUCGUAGAGAAUAUUAUCACCGUGUAUUAUUAUUCGUAUACAUACUAUUAUCUCAUUAGGUUUGUUAGACCGUACUAUUCUUAUCCAACGCUAGAUAAGUAUAUCGGAAUGUAGGUAUUAGGUGAUCUAGUUGUAUACGGUUUAGACUAAGAGCUUUCUCUUUUUUAUACGGUCUAGAUCACCGAUUAUGAGAGGAGUUUCAACAGUAUUGGGAACAUAUGUUCAUAAUUCAUUAUUUUAUUUCGUGACGUAUCUCGGACCGCUAUAUGUUGACUUCUAUGUUGGUAGGUUUCGAUCAACGUAUUUUAAAAGGUGUACCACUCCGUUAGGUUUGUUAGUACCGUAGUAUUCUUAAAAGGUACAUACAAUUAAACUGAGAACAAAUGAUCGAUCAAUUGUAAUGUACGUUAAUAACAGGUAAAGUAGAAAGUACGUUGUACUAAUACUAUCAUUAUCAACGUACACACACACGUGCGUGCACGCUUGCAGGAUCAUUUUAAAUUAAAGCUAAAACAUUAGAAUAGAAACUACCAGAAGAUGUUUAUUUGUAAGUUGGUAGAAUUAAAACCAACUGUUGGCAAGAAAUGAAAGAAAGGAAUGCCUUGACUGCUCGUAACGUUUUCCAAAAGUGAAGUAAGGAACCAUACGAUCUCACUUUUUUUUUUCUUAACUUGUGUACCAUAUUCCUACGUUGUUCCAUAGUCAAGGUUCCGCCUUUUUGACCCCUACUAUCAACGAAAACUGGUGUACCAAUCGAAUAAACUACCUGAUUUACAAAAAAGAAACAUCUACCGAGUGACGUAAAUACGAACUACUUUAGUAUCUAACACACGUUAGGGUGGAUGAUUUUAAACAACUUGCAGUACGGUAACUGUGUUGUCAUAAGACUUGUUAAAACUCGGAACAGCGAGGUCAAACAGAUAUAUACUUCGAACGUUAGACAUAGGUCAAGUGAAAUAAACGUAUGGAGAAGAUGUAUGUGAUUUAACAGACGACUCGUACAACCCUCAUCCUUUACUUUAUAACGUUCGACCAUUUGGAAGACUCUCCUAAUAAACUAUCGCAACAGAAUAGUAUAUGCUACGGAGUAAGAAAGUAGAACGGACUACGUUCAACCAUACACAUCGCGCGCCAUAACAAAGACAUGAUGACUAAAAUACACUAAGUUAGUCGAACGUUGAUGCCGUCGUUUAACACUACAAAAGUCUACAAAGAGCUUCAAAGGAUUACGAAGACGUAACGACUAACAGGUUCAACUCUAUAAAUUGUUCCUAGCGCAACUUUGAGCCGAGGUAAGAAUAAGGCUAACAAACGUGUAGUAUAAGUAACUAACGUUUAAACCGGUUUCCUUGAGAGACCGGAACCCAGAAGACAGUUUUAUCGUAUCGAUCCUACCCA